AAGGCUCGCCCGAGUAUUACCGUAUUGACUCAGUUGAUAAGAAAUGUACGAAGGACACCGAAAUUAUUGUCCGUGCCACAAUUUUCAUUCCCUUGGUACAAUCGAAAG
rnacentral:ribozyme from 1 species